UACGGGGGGCGCAAGCGUUGUUCGGAUUUACUGGGCGUAAAGGGCGCGUAGGCGGUCAGCACAAGUCAGUUGUGAAAUCUCCGGGCUUAACUCGGAAAGGUCAACUGAUACUGUGCGACUAGAGUGCAGAAGGGGCAACUGGAAUUCUCGGUGUAGCGGUGAAAUGCGUAGAUAUUGGGAGGAACACCGGUGGCGAAGGCGGCCCCCUGGACCGGUACUGACGCUGAGACGCGAAAGCGUGGGUAGCAAACGGG
rnacentral:rRNA from 1 species